UACGUAGGGCGCAAGCGUUGUCCGGAAUUAUUGGGCGUAAAGAGCUCGUAGGCGGCUCGGUAAGUCGGGUGUGAAACCCCGGGGCUCAACCCCGGAACUGCAUCCGAUACUGCGUGGCUAGAGGUAGGUAGGGGAGAUCGGAAUUCCUGGUGUAGCGGUGAAAUGCGCAGAUAUCAGGAGGAACACCGGUGGCGAAGGCGGAUCUCUGGGCCUUACCUGACGCUCAGGCACGAAAGCUAGGGGAGCGAACAGG
rnacentral:rRNA from 1 species